rnacentral:lncRNA from 1 species
UGAAUUCAUAUUAUCACAUAAAUGGACGGGUAUACAAACAAUAAGAAAGCAUAACAAAACUCAGAGAUGAUUUCAUUUCUCCUCAAUAGAUAAUCAAAGAAACUAACACAACUAUUAAAUGUAUCAAAUACAGGUAUUACAAUCAAUUAAUUAUCAAAGUUCAUCAUUGGAUAUAAUCUUUAUGAAUAUUUGGGAAUUGGAAAUACCACUUUAAAGUGGCAGUAGCAGCAGUAAGGCACAAAUAAUACUCUUUGGUUUAACUAACAUACUCCUUUUUUAUUACUUGUAUUCUAUCAGUCAGCUCGUAUGCAAGGUGCCAAACAUCUUUUAUCCAUAAUCCAAUAUAAGUACAAAGUCAGAACAACUAACAUGCACACUAACUACAACAAAAUCUAUGUUAGGGUAAUCUAAAAAUCCACUAAGUUCUCUAA